CACAAUAGUGCAAGGAUCUGCUGAAGCAGUGGUUGUAAAGGCUCCGCGUGAGUGAUUCUGUGCAAGGGGAAUGAGAGUUCUAGAAAGAGGUACAUUGGUGAAAUGCAGCAACCAGAUAAAAGAAAUGCAUUACUCCGUCACCACACUGAUUCUCCAUCUCCCUCUGAUGGCAAGUGCGACCCUGAUGAAGCUGCUCCCCUAAAUCAAGGACUACCCCGACAGUGCGGCCUUGAUGGCACAACUCCCAUACACCAAGGACUAGCCCCAUGGUGCGGCCACGACAUCACUGCUCCCCUACAUCGCCGACUACAACCUGAGAUCUUAGAACAGGUUUGCAGGUUCAUUGGAACAAAUGUUCAAAAGGAAGAUGCACAGUAAGAAUUACAGUAAGAAGUUCAACUACGAGCCCAGACAUGAGGUAUUUUAACCGCCAACAAAGGGUGUGUUGCGCUAAAAAUUAGUAAUCUUCGCUCCAAAUUCUUAGGUCACUGGCCCAGAUUGAUGCACGAGAGCUUCUAGAUGUUCUUCUCGAUCUUGAAUAUUCAUUUUCUCCAACUAUGCAAGAUUUGCUUGUGUAUAAGUUUGAUAAGGCCAGGGGCAAGAACAAAGUGGUUGAUUCAUUGAAUGAAGUAUGCGUUAUGUACAGUCCUCCAGAAUUCAGAAAUUGAUCUAUAAUUCUGUGAAGAGAAGGUUUUCAAACCCAAAGGAGCAUUGGCAACCUUAGGGACUUGGGCGCCAACGUGUAGUCCCUGCAGAAGUUGCUCACCCGGAAGGUGGUCUUCUCCAAGGCCUCCCUAGCCUUUGAACAAGACCGCUCCAUCAAGGUUGAAACCAAGAGGGCAUUGUAAACUUUGAUGACACUUUGUGGGAAACCAAUUACUUCAU